AUGGUUAGGUUUGGGAAAAAGUUGAUGGCCGACCAAGUUCCAGAGUGGAGAGGUUACUAUAUAAACUACAAGCUGAUGAAGAAGAAAGUAAAACAAUAUGGGCAGCAGCUCCAACAGGGAGAGAAAGAUCGUCGCCGGGUUCUCAAGGAUUUCUCGAAGAUGCUUGAUGAUCAGAUUGAGACGAUUGUCUUGUUUCUGUUGGAGCAACAAGGAAGGCUGGCGAGCAGGAUAGAAAAGCUAGGAAAGCAAAGGGCUAUACUAGUUGAACAGCCAGAUAUAUCUGCCAUUGCUGAGUUGCGAGAAGCUUAUAGAGAAGUUGGUCUGGAUCUUAUCAAACUUCUCAAAUUCGUUGAUCUGAAUGCAACUGGCAUUAGGAAAAUCUUGAAGAAGUUUGAUAAGCGCUUCAGUUACAGAUUUACUGAUUACUACGUGUCAAGUAGAUCAAAUCACCCUUAUUCUCAGCUACAGCAGGUCUUCAAGCAUGUGGGUGUAGGAGCUGUUGUAGGAGCCUUGUCACGUAACCUUGCUGACCUUCAGGAGCGUCAAGGAAGUUAUUUGUCUAUUUAUGACCAACCAUCUUCUGCUCUUAAGGACCCAAUCAUUGAUAUGAUAAAUUCAUCAGUGGAUAAACUGACACGAUCAACUAAUUUUCUACGGUUUUUGGGGCAACAUGCCCUAAUUGCGCAAGAGGAGUCUCCUAGUACGGCAGGAGAGGAAGAAAUAGAAGAUCAAAAAUACCAUUUCGUGUCCCUUAUGCUGAAUUUGGUGAACACGUUCCUUUACAUGGUCAACACAUACAUCAUUGUGCCAACUGCAGAUGACUACUCAGUGAGCCUUGGGGCUGCUUCGACUGUUUGUGGUGUUGUUAUUGGUUCAAUGGCCGUUGCACAAGUAUUUUCUUCAGUGUACUUCAGUGCAUGGUCCAACAAGUCAUAUUUUAAACCACUUGUUUUCAGCAGUAUUGUUCUUUUCUUGGGUAAUGUCUGCUAUGCAAUGGCUUACGACACGAAGUCCCUGACAGUCCUUAUUGUUGGCCGCCUACUCUGUGGGUUGGGUUCUGCAAGAGCUGUCAAUCGACGGUACAUUAGUGAUUGUGUCCCUGCAAGGAUACGCAUGCAAGCUUCAGCAGGAUUCGUUAGUGCAAGUGCACUUGGCAUGGCUUGUGGGCCAGCGCUGGCUGGUUUACUUCAGUGGAGAUUUAAAGUCUACAUGGUUACGUUCAGUCAGUCGACUCUACCUGGUUGGUUGAUGGCAGUUGCAUGGCUACUGUACUUAGUUUGGCUAUGCAUCUCGUUCAAGGAACCAAAUCGUGCCACUGAGGCAGAUGAUACACCACAUAACCGUGCUUCUGGACAAAGUGUGGAUAUUGGGCAAGUUGAAAAUGGACUUGCACAACCAUUGCUUGGAGAUUCUGAAAGCAAACUAAACGACGACGACGAUGAUGAUGAAGAAGAUGAAAGUGAAGAAUCUGCACAAGAUUCUCGCAAGCCUGCAACUUCGAUUGGUUCAGCAUACAGAUUGCUCACUCCAUCAGUAAAGGUUCAAUUGUUGAUAUACUUCAUGCUCAAGUACGCGAUGGAGAUUUUACUUUCUGAAUCAAGUGUUAUUACAAGUCACUAUUUCAAUUGGAAUACAAGCUCAGUGGCAAUAUUUCUGGCAAUUCUUGGGUUGACAGUGCUUCCUAUUAACGCUGUUGUUGGAACAUAUAUCAGCAACAUGUUUGAGGACAGGCAACUCUUGAUGGCUUCUCAAAUUACAUUGCUAGUAGGCAUUAUUUUCAGCUUCAAAGUCACGAGCACAUACUCCGUCAUCCAGUAUGUUGUCUCAGCACUCAUUACGUUUGUUUCUGCUGAAGUCCUUGAAGGCGUCAACCUCUCACUCCUGUCGAGCGUGAUGUCGUCCCGCCUCUCCAGGGGCACGUACAACGGCGGGCUCCUCUCGACGGAGGCCGGGACCCUGGCGAGGGUGGUCGCGGACUGCACCAUCACCGCAGCGGGGUACCUGGGCAUCGGGAGCCUCCUCAACGUCACCCUGCUGCCCUCCCUGGUGAUCUGCGCCGCAUCAAUUGCAUGCACCUUCUUGACCUACAACUCCCUCUUCUAA
rnacentral:rRNA from 1 species